UACGGAGGGGGCUAGCGUUGUUCGGAAUUACUGGGCGUAAAGCGCACGCAGGCGGUCUGUUAUGUCGGAUGUGAAAGCCCUUGGCUCAACUGAGGAAGUGCAUCCGAAACUGGCAGGCUAGAGUACUAAAGAGGAUCGCGGAAUUCCCGGUGUAGAGGUGAAAUUCGUAGAUAUCGGGAGGAACACCAGUGGCGAAGGCGGCUUCCUGGCCUGUUCUUGACGCUGAGGCGCGAAAGCUAGGGGAGCAAACGGG
rnacentral:rRNA from 1 species